rnacentral:rRNA from 1 species
AGUAACACGUAUGCAAUCCACCUGUAACAGGGGGAUAACCCGGAGAAAUCCGGACUAAUACCCCAUAAUAUGGGCGCUCCGCAUGGAGAGCCCAUUAAAGAGAGCAAUUUUGGUUACAGACGAGCAUGCGCUCCAUUAGCCAGUUGGCGGGGUAACGGCCCACCAAGGCGACGAUCAGUAGCCGGACUGAGAGGUUGACCGGCCACAUUGGGACUGAGACACGGCCCAG